CGCUAGCUACAGGCUUAACACAUGCAAGUCGAGGGGCAGCAUGGUCUUAGCUUGCUAAGGCCGAUGGCGACCGGCGCACGGGUGAGUAACACGUAUCCAACCUGCCGUCUACUCUUGGACAGCCUUCUGAAAGGAAGAUUAAUACAAGAUGGCAUCAUGAGUCCGCAUGUUCACAUGAUUAAAGGUAUUCCGGUAGACGAUGGGGAUGCGUUCCAUUAGAUAGUAGGCGGGGUAACGGCCCACCUAGUCUUCGAUGGAUAGGGGUUCUGAGAGGAAGGUCCCCCACAUUGGAACUGAGACACGGUCCAAACUCCUACGGGAGGCAGCAGUGAGGAAUAUUGGUCAAUGGGCGCAGGCCUGAACCAGCCAAGUAGCGUGAAGGAUGACUGCCCUAUGGGUUGUAAACUUCUUUUAUAAAGGAAUAAAGUCGGGUAUGUAUACCCGUUUGCAUGUACUUUAUGAAUAAGGAUCGGCUAACUCCGUGCCAGCAGCCGCGGUAAUACGGAGGAUCCGAGCGUUAUCCGGAUUUAUUGGGUUUAAAGGGAGCGUAGAUGGAUGUUUAAGUCAGUUGUGAAAGUUUGCGGCUCAACCGUAAAAUUGCAGUUGAUACUGGAUAUCUUGAGUGCAGUUGAGGCAGGCGGAAGUCGUGGUGUAGCGGUGAAAUGCUUAGAUAUCACGAAAAAGUCCGAUUG
rnacentral:rRNA from 1 species